rnacentral:rRNA from 1 species
UACGUAGGGGGCAAGCGUUGUCCGGAUUUAUUGGGCGUAAAGAGCGUGUAGGCGGCCUGACAAGUCUGCUGUGAAAACUCGAGGCUCAACCUCGAGAUGUCGGCGGAAACUGUCUGGCUAGAGUCCGGAAGAGGAGAGUGGAAUUCCUGGUGUAGCGGUGAAAUGCGCAGAUAUCAGGAAGAAUAUCCGUGGCGAAGGCGGCUCUCUGGGACGGUACUGACGCUGAGACGCGAAAGCGUGGGGAGCGAACAGG